GAUGAACGCUGGCGGCGUGCUUAACACAUGCAAGUCGAACGGAACGCCAAGGAAAGAGUUUUCGGUACGAAUAGGAAUUAGGUUGUUUAGUUGGCGGACGGGUGAGUAACGCGUGAGUAACCUGCCUUGGAGUGGGGAAGUAACACAGUGAAAUUAGUGCUAAUACCGCAUGAUAUAUCGGUGUCGCAUGGCACUGAUAUCAAAGAUUUAUCGCUCUGAGAUGGACUCGCGUCUGAUUAGAUAGUUGGCGGGGUAAUGGCCCCACCAAGUCGACGAUCAGUAGCCGGACUGAGAGGUUGGCCGGCCACAUUGGGACUGAGACCACGGCCCAGACUCCUACGGGGAGGCAGCAAGUGGGGAAUAUUGGGCAAUGGGCGC
rnacentral:rRNA from 1 species